CAGUCAGGCGGGGUAACCCUUACCUGUUCCUCCUUGUGGAGGGCAGUGGAAUGUGGUCAUCGUGGUUGCAGGAUACGUGGCUGAUGUCUCUGUGUAAUGAGGGCUUGCAAUGUCCUAAGUGAUCUUCCUGAA